AAGACUAUACUUUCAGGGAUCAUUUCUAUAGUUCCUAACUAGAGAAGUGCAUUCGAAAGUGAUCGGGCGAGCCAACCACGAGGACGAGGCAAAGUGUUCUCUCCUGAGCGUGAAGCAGACGGGAAGUGCUACUUUAUUGUAGCUGCUUCUCCGUUCUUGAUGAUCGUUCUGCCUUCUUUUCUAAGAAGGUUGGAGGGAGAGAACACAUUCUGAGUGGU